UUUUUUAGUGACCCGCAUAAUCAAAUAUCAUACACCUUAUCGUUGAUAUUAUUCUGUUCUGAUUACAUGAAUGAUACCAGUAAUAAUCCUUUAAACAAAAUUCAAAAUGUAUCAGAGUGUGUCUUCACUGUCAACAAAGCAAAUAAAAAUGGCGCGUGUUUUGGUUUUGCUAAAGCGGACGGCGGAAUCUCUGUUUUAUUUAGGAAAUCCCCAGCUAAUAUUAAUACCAACCCUACAAUCCUGAGGUGCACAGUUUGAUGGUCCGGAAGAGGAAUUUGUCGGUCGAGACGGUCGAGACAUUCGUGGCAACAGCAGCACCAAAUGCAGCAUUAGACUUCCGCCGAAAGCUUUCCCUUGCAUCACUACCCGCUUUGCGGUGGAAGGGCCAUCAACAUGUAACGUUUACAUAGAAACAAAUUAAAUGCGGAAUCAAUCGCUUCAUCCACGGGAGCUCUGAAUCUUCACAGGAUCCCAGAAAACGAAUCGCUUUUUCGACGAGAAUUCCCCGACGUGUAACCCGAAUCUUAAGAAUCGUGUCGGAUAGAACAGGCUCCGAAAGCUGUAAAUAAAAUUGGUAAGAGUUUCAAUUUUUAUAUUAUGAUUUGUGCUUAUUUUGUUUUAUUUAAGGAAAAGGUGUUGCUGAAUCGACGAAAUAUAUCCGAAGCUUGCUACCGCUGCUGGAAUCCGGAGAUCCCAUCUGGUACGGCUAAUGGAGAAAUCAAUGAUUGGCGAAAAAUGGCCAGGGGAGAGGGGUGGCAAUCGAAGCAUUCGAUAGCUACUACCACCUACUACUCCGAUAGCGAGGCCCCUGGAUGGUUAAAGAUAGUGAUCUGCUCCACUUACCGAUUGCGUCAGCCGAGGCGCCCAGUGUCAUACAUCCUACUCCAUACGUCAUACAUCCGGCUAAGGCCAAUAACAGUCAUCACCUUAAACACAAGCUGAGAAACCGGAUGCAGUCGUACUGGGCAAAGGAUCUGGGUAAAAAUGCUUUUUGUUUAGUUAUAUUUUCAACUGAAAAUAACGUCAUUUUUGUUUUCCAGGAAACGCUCGGUGACCAAGCAUAUUUCUACCAGAAGCGGUGGUGUCAUUGAGGAUGGAAAAGACUACGGUACAAUUUUCGUCGCAAGUAGCCUGCAUGCGGGAGCCAAGAAGCUUUAGAAUCGGAAAUGUGAUGAAGAUUGUAGCGUUCAAUCCACCGUCCUCAUCGAAGGUGUCGAAUCUGAUUGGGUCUGUGACUCAAGAUUAUUUCAAUUUUCUAUCCAAUGUCAAGAGUAG